AUUGAACGCUGGCGGCAUGCCUUACACAUGCAAGUUGAACGGCAGCACGGGUGCUUGCACCUGGUGGCGAGUGGCGAACGGGUGAGUAAUACAUCGGAACAUGUCCUGUAGUGGGGGAUAGCCCGGCGAAAGCCGGAUUAAUACCGCAUACGAUCUACGGAUGAAAGCGGGGGACCUUCGGGCCUCGCGCUAUAGGGUUGGCCGAUGGCUGAUUAGCUAGUUGGUGGGGUAAAGGCCUACCAAGGCGACGAUCAGUAGCUGGUCUGAGAGGACGACCAGCCACACUGGGACUGAGACACGGCCCAGACUCCUACGGGAGGCGGCAGUGGGGAAUUUUGGACAAUGGGCGAAAGCCUGAUCCAGCAAUGCCGCGUGUGUGAAGAAGGCCUUCGGGUUGUAAAGCACUUUUGUCCGGAAAGAAAUCCUUGGCCCUAAUACGGUCGGGGGAUGACGGUACCGGAAGAAUAAGCACCGGCUAACUACGUG
rnacentral:rRNA from 1 species